CCUACGGGGGGCUGCAGUAGGGAAUAUUGGGCAAUGGACGCAAGUCUGACCCAGCCACGCCGCGUGAAGGAUGACUGCCCUAUGGGUUGUAAACUUCUUUUGUAUGGGAAGAAACCUCCGAACGUGUUCGGAGCUGACGGUACCAUAAGAAUAAGAAUCGGCUAACCCCGUGCCAGCAGCCGCGGUAAUACGGAGGAUGCAAGCGUCGUCCGGAUUAAAGGGGGUGAAGGGGUGGGAAUAAGUCAGUGGUGAAAGCUCGCAGCUUAACUGUGAAAAUGCCAUUGAAACUGGUUUUCUUGAGUUCGAUUGAGGUAGAUGGAAUGUAUCAUGUAGCGGUGAAAUGCUUAGAUAUGAUACAGAACACCAAUUGCGAAGGCAGUCUACUAAGUCGAUACUGACGCUGAGGCACGAAAGCAUGGGGAGCAAACAGGAUUAGAUACCCGUGUAGUC
rnacentral:rRNA from 1 species